ACCUGCCCUAUGAUAGAUAUUAAAUGGCCGCGAUAUUUUGAUCGUGCAAAGGUAGCAUAAUCAUUAGUUUCUUAAUUAGGAACUGGUAUGAAAGGUUGAACGAAAAAAAAUCUGUCUCAAUUUAAUUUAAUUAGAAUUUUAUAUUUAAGUUAAAAAGCUUAAAUAUAUUUAAAAGACGAGAAGACCCUAUAGAGUUUUAUAUUUAAUAAUUUUUAAUAAUUUUUAGUAUUUAAAAUUUUUAUUAUUUAUUAAGUAUUUGGUUGGGGUGACUUAAAAAUUUAAAAAACUUUUUAAUAAUUUUUACAUUAAUAUAUGAAAAAUUGAUCCAUAUUUUAUGAUUAAAAGAUUAAAUUA
rnacentral:rRNA from 1 species